rnacentral:rRNA from 1 species
UGGGGAAUUUUGGACAAUGGGGGCAACCCUGAUCCAGCCAUGCCGCGUGAGUGAAGAAGGCCUUCGGGUUGUAAAGCUCUUUCGGCGGGGACGAAACGGUCCGUGACAACACCACGGACUAAUGACAGUACUCGCAGAAGAAGCACCGGCUAACUACGUGCCAGCAGCCGCGGUAAUACGUAGGGUGCAGGCGUUAAUCGGAAUUACUGGGCGUAAAGCGUGCGCUGGCGGCUCCUUAAGUCAGAUGUGAAAUCCCCGGGCUUAACCUGGGAACUGCGUUUGAAACUGAGGGGCUAGAGUGUGGAAGAGGGGGGUGGAAUUCCAGGUGUAGCAGUGAAAUGCGUAGAUAUCUGGAGGAACACCGGUGGCGAAGGCGGCGUUCUGGACUGCAACUGACACUGAGGAACGAAAGCCAGGGUAGCAAACGGGAUUAGAUACCCCCGUAGUCCCUGAGCGGGCUGGCAAGGCGCAU